rnacentral:lncRNA from 13 species
GCAGCUGUUAGAGCCUUUCUUCUUCCUACUUAAUGUCUUUAUUUUCUUCUCCUCUAGCAGCAUGUUGUUUACAUGCCCUGAUCAGAGUAAUCAAAGGAACUCGAGAGAUGCCUGAUUCAUUCAGUUGGAUUUUCUGCCUAAAGAUGUGUUAUUUCACCACCUGAUGGAGAACACGCUGAACGGUGCCUGACUCCAGUGUGUGCUGCCAGAGUUGCCCUGGGUUUCAGCAGUACAGCUAAGGCUUCCAGACACAAGUGUUUGCAGAAGUCACAGAAAGUCUAGGCAUCUAUCCUCAGUCACCUCUUGAAAGUACCCAGCAGGGAAAAUGGAAGACAGAUGUCAGCAGCAACUUCAGGAUUUGCACGUUUCUGCAAAAGAGCUACAGCCAUUUUACAGCUGUGACCACUACACAAUGGCCUGGAGAACUGAGUCACCUGUGAAUUCAAUGUGGGGUUUUAAGUAAGAAAUGAUGCUGCAACUGGUACAUUAUGAGGCUCCAAAGAGGUAGCAGCACUGAAAAGAAAGGAGUGUAUCUGUCCUGCAAGAGAAAAGGAAGAGAAAGUCUGUUUUGAAGGAGGAAAAGAGGAAGGCUGUUUGAAGGAAAGAGAGAACACAUGGAAGAAAGCAAGGGUGAAUGUGAGAGGGAGAGCACAGAUUCUAGUGCAGGUGAGAAACAGUUUAGUAAUCCAGGUUUUCAAU